UUAAGUUCAGCGGGUAUCCCUACCUGAUCCGAGGUCAAACACGUGAGAUUGGGGGCGGUUUACGGCUAGAGAUGAUCCGUCCGAGAGCGAAACAUAACGUUGAUUACUACGCUCAUCGGCACGCACGUCCCUGCCAAGGGCUUUCGGAUAGGAAUGGCUCGAGCACACUCCAAUGCCAAUACCAAGUCAUGGAUGAAUCC
rnacentral:misc_RNA from 1 species